UGCCCAGUGGUGUAAUGGUAGCACAAGUGAUUUUGGUUCAUUUAGUCAAGGUUCGAAUCCUUGCAGGGCAGCCA
rnacentral:tRNA from 1 species